GGAGGAUGGGGUGGUGAUCGCCGGAAAUAAUAGAUUUUCGGAGGAAAGUCCGGGCUCCUCAGGGCAGGACGCUGGGUAACGCCCAGUCGAGGUAACUCGAAGGAAAGUGCCACAGAAAAUAUACCGCUGAGGCUUUGGUUCCUCAGUAAGGGUGAAAAGGUGCGGUAAGAGCGCACCGGUUUUUCGGUGACGGAAAACGCAUGGUAAACCCCGUCUGGAGCAAGGUAAAAUGGCGUAUGGCUCUGCCCGGGCCUUUUACGCCAGGUAACCGCUUGAGCUGCAUGGAAACAUACAGCCUAGAUGAAUGAUCGCCCCUCGCAAGAGGAACAGAACCCGCGCUUACAACCAUCCUCCACUU
rnacentral:RNase_P_RNA from 1 species